rnacentral:misc_RNA from 1 species
AAAACAUUUCCCUGCUCCUUUUAGUUUUUUUUUUAAUUAUUUAUUAUAUUAUAUAUGCUCUUCACAAUUGCAAGUAUAAUUAGUUAUAAUCUCUAAUAUACACAAUCCAUAUACACUUUAUCGUCGUACUUAUUUUAAUUAUUUUUUUAUGGAGGGGAUUGGUUGUUCCAUACACAUGCAUCCAUGAUUAUACAAGCAAGUCCCUUGUGUUUGGAAUGCCGUUUCUGCACCUCAACUCCCAACGCAUAAUUAACCAGCACUCACAAAAUUCAAUAAAUCAUGUAACCACAUAGAAGGAAUGUAAGUUGUUUCCGACUUCAACCCCUGCUAUCGUUAUAAGCAUUUCCCAGCUCACCUUCUUCUCAAAUUGCCAAGGAGGUCUGAGAGCCUAAUAUUUUUAGCAAUCAAUGUUCUUCCAUUUUCAUGACCAAGAUGACGCGGUACCACUUCCUCCAGAUGGCCAUCACGGUAUUGAUGCUUGUAGAAACAACUAUUUCCAAAUGGGCAAGUCCCAUUGCCAAAGUCAUAGUGCUUGCAAUCAAUAGACCUGAGUUUGGCUUUAUAGCUGUCAAGGAUAAUUUGUUUUUCUUCUUUUGUGGAGAACCAAGUGACACUUGGAAUGACAAAAUAUGAAAGCUUCCGGCAAAUGGGGCAGGUCCUAAAUGUCGAGUUGAUAUCAACCCCAGAGGAAGGGGUACCACUGCGCCAAUUCCUGAUACAUGAUAUACAAAAUGGAUGAUCACACUCAAAAAGGAUCCCAAACUUCCGCUCUGCUGCAGUUGUCUUAGAGAGUACCCGUUCAAGACACACACUGCACUCUAUUUCUUGACUAUGCUUCAGUAACUCAAGGCGCUUUUGCCUCUUCUCACAUAUUCUUAUAUGCUCCUCUCUUUCCUGAGGCCGAAAGGGAUGCAAGCAAUUCUUUGCACAGAUUGGACAUAAAUCUCCAUGAAUAUAAGGACAUUGCUCUUCCCGUGGACAUUUACCAGCAGCAGCAAGAGAGCAAAUUGAUCGAUCAGCUGGAUUCAUCCUCUUUAACUCGACAAUAUUAUCAAUAACUGCCGCAUCAUGAUGCUCUGAAUUUUCACUCCAUACAGGCUGGUUCGGAGGGUAAAAAGGUCGGCCUGAAGCCAAAUACUCGGAAGAAAUGCCUGACAAGAUUCCUGUACCAUCUGCUAGCAUUCCAGGCGAGAGGGUAGUGGGAGGAGAAGCUGAAAAAAGAUGUUGAGCUGGAGCUGACGAAGAUGGAAGUGAAUGUUGUUCAGAAACUUUAACAUGUCUGUAUCUACACCUGUUGCCAUAGGCACAUAAUCCUUUCUGGUAGUAUGUGCAUACAUUGUUUGGAGGAUCUUUCCAAUGAUGUGAGAACUCACAGUACUCUCCUUUCAGACAUGCACCAUUUACAAAGAACUUACAAAGAACCCUUCUCGACAUGGCAUGGAAUCAUGAACUUGGCAAUUUGUUGAUGAAUUGAAAAGCCAGAGCGAGAAUAGAGCGAUUCGCUCCCUCGCUCUGGCUCGUUAAAGGAGGCUAGGGCUUUUGCUUUUGGCGGUUCGAUCCCACUACUAACUGCUCAGGGUAGAGAUACACUACCUUCUUCUCAACCUUCCAUUUUAUGGUUUUUUUAUUUUUUUUCAAGGUCUG